GUAAAGGAUGAGAGUGUGCCAACACCUGCUCCGGCUGAUCGAUGGGGAGGUCCUGGAGAUGAACUAGGAAUAGAAUUAUUGCUGUCCUCUAAGUGUGCAGCAGCCAGCUAGCAAAGUGGUCACGAGGACACAGGGCCCUCAAGCAAUACGAUGAGCCACGUACAGCAAUCUACAAAGUGCUGUGGGAUUCUGCAGAGAGGCAGCUAGUUUUCUCUGACACGUGGCAAAGAUGUGCCCUAUCGUUUCUAGAGGGCAGGGCGACUGUCACACCAGGGGCAAACCCCUCCCCCACUGUGCCACAUACCAGGCUCACUCAAGGCAGAGGAAAGGCCAUCUGGAGAUCCUGUCCUCCCACAGCGACUCCUGUGGUGACCCUCCUUGCGGAGAAGAAAGGCUUUCUGACGGGUCUUCCUUUGACUAAUAGACUAAGCCAACCCUGAGUUGGGUAGUUUGAAGCUGAGUUCUCUUUCAGACACCUGCAAGGGCAGAACUGAAGCUUGGAGGUGUCAGGACCACCAUGGCUUGUCUCUGUGCAGGAGACAGAAGGAGGUGCUAGCCGAAGGUGUCACCUGCCACAGGUCCUUCCAGACACUCCACUCCGUCACACCUGCUGCUUCAUGGCUCUGACAUAGAACUUGAUGCCAAGACUUGUGUUUCUAAGUAAUUUACAAAUGGAGGCUGAAGCCAAAGUUAUUCCGGGUUGACAAUGAUGUGUGCCAAGAAAUCAAAGCUUGAGGACAGCAGCUGUGCUGCCCAAGACGCUAAGGGUAGCAGUGCCUUCCUCUCAGACUGGCUUGCUCUGGGAAGCGCCAUCUUCCCUGUGGGCAUAGCCCACCUGGGGUGGAGGCUGCAUUCACCCCUCCUCUCUGGGGCUUUGGGGGAGAUUAACUUCACUAAGCAUCUGUUCUGUGAAAGGUGCCUUUUGCAAAAUGGCCAAUAUGAUUAAAUACAGCUUUGGUGUGGAGGCCCUUGUGAUCCUAGGUGUCACCAGGAUCUGCGAUAUGAGUUCCUAUGCUCAAGGUCAAGAGGCCUGCAUUCACCAGACCUUGCCAGCUUACCCCUCAAGGAUUAAAGGGGAGCUUAUGUCACAUUGCUCCAA